rnacentral:rRNA from 1 species
CAGUAGCCGCGGUAAUACGAAGGGUGCAAGCGUUAAUCGGAAUUACUGGGCGUAAAGCGUGCGUAGGCGGUGAGUUAAGUCUGCUGUGAAAUCCCCGGGCUCAACCUGGGAAUGGCAGUGGAUACUGGCUCGCUAGAGUGUGUCAGAGGAUGGUGGAAUUCCCGGUGUAGCGGUGAAAUGCGUAGAGAUCGGGAGGAACAUCAGUGGCGAAGGUGGCCAUCUGGGACAACACUGACGCUGAGGCACGAAAGCGUGGGGAGCAAACAGGAUUAGAUACCCCAGUAGUCCCUGUCUCUUAUAC